rnacentral:rRNA from 1 species
CAAUAGCGCAUAUUAAAGUUGUUGCAGUUAAAAAGCUCGUAGUUGAAUUUCGGGUGCUCGUAGUCGGUCCUUCAUUGGGCUGGCGCGUGUGCUCUCCCCGCCUUUGGCGGCCUUUACUGUGAAAAAAUUAGAGUGUUCAAAGCAGGCAAUCGCUUGAAUACAUUAGCAUGGAAUAAUAAGAUAGGAUCUUGUCUAUUUUGUUGGUUGCGGACAAAGAUAAUGAUUAAUAGGGAUAGUUGGGGGUGUCCGUAUUGAGCUGUCAGAGGUGAAAUUCUUGGAUUUGCUCAAGACGAACUGCUGCGAAAGCGUUCACCAAGGAUGUUUUCAUUAA